CCAGAUCUCAAUUCAGGCAGGCCCAGAUUUCAUUUCGGAAACCGAAGAGGAACCACCCCGUAGGAGAAGAGAAGUUUAUACCAGCAUUGUGGGCUCCAAGUAGACGCUCUCUUGGAAAGAGCUACGGAUACGCAACUUUUGAGAGCCGGAAAGGAGGAAAGACAACUAGACAAGUGGGGGGCGUAGGAGACGACGACGAUGGUGAUG
rnacentral:lncRNA from 1 species